GAGUUUGAUCAUGGCUCAGGAUGAACGCUGGCGGCGUGCCUAAUACAUGCAAGUCGAACGAACAGAUAAGGAGCUUGCUCCUUUGACGUUAGCGGCGGACGGGUGAGUAACACGUGGGUAACCUACCUAUAAGACUGGAAUAACUCCGGGAAACCGGGGCUAAUGCCGGAUAACAUGUUGAACCGCAUGGUUCUACAGUGAAAGACGGUCUUGCUGUCACUUAUAGAUGGACCCGCGCCGUAUUAGCUAGUUGGUGGGUAACGGCCUACCAAGGCGACGAUACGUAGCCGACCUGAGAGGGUGAUCGGCCACACUGGAACUGAGACGCGGUCCAGACUCCUACGGGAGGCAGCAGUAGGGAAUCUUCCGCAAUGGGCGAAAGCCUGACGGAGCAACGCCGCGUGAGUGAUGAAGGUCUUCGGAUCGUAAAGCUCUGUUGUUAGGGAAGAACAAAUGUGUAAGUAACUGUGCAUAUCUUGACGGUACCUAACCAGAAAGCCACGGCUAACUACGUGACAGCAGCCG
rnacentral:rRNA from 1 species